AGCGAACGCUGGCGGCAGGCCUAACACAUGCAAGUCGAACGAACUCUUCGGAGUUAGUGGCGGACGGGUGAGUAACACGUGGGAACGUGCCUUUAGGUUCGGAAUAACUCAGGGAAAAUUGUGCUAAUACCGAAUGUGCCCUUCGGAGGAAAGAUUUAUCGCCUUUAGAGCGGCCGGCGUCUGAUUAGCUAGUUGGUGAGGUAAAGGCUCACCAAGGCGACGAUCAGUAGCUGGUCUGAGAGGAUGAUCAGCCACAUUGGGACUGAGACACGACCCAAACUCCUACGGGAGGCAGCAGUGGGGAAUCUUGCGCAAUGGGCGAAAGCCUGACGCAGCCAUGCCGCGUGAAUGAUGAAGGUCUUAGGAUUGUAAAAUUCUUUCACCGGGGACGAUAAUGACGGUACCCGGAGAAGAAGCCCCGGCUAACUUCGUG
rnacentral:rRNA from 1 species